AGUGAACGCUGGCGGUAGGCCUAACACAUGCAAGUCGAACGGCAGCACAGUAAGAGCUUGCUCUUACGGGUGGCGAGUGGCGGACGGGUGAGGAAUACAUCGGACUCUACUUUUUCGUGGGGGAUAACGUAGGGAAACUUACGCUAAUACCGCAUACGACCUACGGGUGAAAGCAGGGGAUCUUCGGACCUUGCGCGAUUGAAUGAGCCGAUGUCGGAUUAGCUAGUUGGCGGGGUAAAGGCCCACCAAGGCGACGAUCCGUAGCUGGUCUGAGAGGAUGAUCAGCCACACUGGAACUGAGACACGGUCCAGACUCCUACGGGAGGCAGCAGUGUGGAAUAUUGGACAAUGGUCGCAAGCCUGAUCCAGCCAUACCGCGUGGGUGAAGAAGGCCUUCGGGUUGUAAAGCCCUUUUGUUGGGAAAGAAAAGCAGCAGGUUAAUACCCCGCUGUUCUGACGGUACCCAAAGAAUAAGCACCGGCUAACUUCGUG
rnacentral:rRNA from 1 species